rnacentral:rRNA from 1 species
AGUAAAGGCAUCUUUACUUUUUUAAAAGAUCUUCUUUGAAGGUAUGCUUAAGGAGGGGCUUGCGACACAUUAGUUAGUUGGUAGGGUAAAGGCCUACCAAGACUAUGAUGUGUAGCUGGACUGAGAGGUUGAACAGCCACAUUGGGACUGAGACACGGCCCAAACUCCUACGGGAGGCAGCAGUAGGGAAUUUUCGGCAAUGGAGGAAACUCUGACCGAGCAACGCCGCGUGAACGAUGAAGUACUUCGGUAUGUAAAGUUCUUUUAUUAAGGAAGAAAAAAGAGUGGAAAAACUCCCUUGACGGUACUUAAUGAAUAAGCCCCGGCUAAUUAUGUGCCAUAUAAUGGAGGUCAUCAGGAAAACAGGUGGUGCAUGGUUGUCGUCAGCUCGUGUCGUGAGAUGUUAGGUUAAGUCCUAAAACGAGCGCAACCCUUGUCGUUAGUUGCCAGCAUGUAAUGAUGGGGACUUUAACGAGACUGCCAAUGAAAAAUUGGAGGAAGGUGGGGAUUACGUCAAAUCAUCAUGCCCCUUAUGAUCUGGGCUACAAACGUGAUACAAUGGUUGAUACAAAGAGUAGCUGAAACGCGAGUUCUUAGCCAAUCUCAAAAAAUCAAUCUCAGUUCGGAUUGAAGUCUGCAACUCGACUUCAUGAAGUUGGAAUCGCUAGUAAUCGCGAAUCAGCAUGUCGCGGUGAAUAC